rnacentral:misc_RNA from 1 species
UACGUAGGUGGCAAGCGUUGUCCGGAAUUAUUGGGCGUAAAGCGCGCGCAGGCGGCCUCGUAAGUCUGAUGUGAAAGCCCCCGGCUCAACCGGGGAGGGCCAUUGGAGACGGGGAGGCUUGAGUAGUGGAGAGAAGAGUGGAAUUCCACGUGUAGCGGUGAAAUGCGUAGAGAUGUGAAGGAACACCAGUGGCGCAGGCGACUCUUUGGCCUAUAACUGACGCAUAGGCGCGAAAGCGUGGGGAGCAAACAGG